GGGUAGUUUAGUGGUAGAAUACUCACACCAGAUAGGCUCGUCCCAUCUCCCAAUCGAAUGGUUAGAAGGAAUCCAGGUCAACUGUCUGGGACGCUAGGCGAGAAGCCCGUGAGAGACAUGCGUUCGAAUCGCACCAUGUCCA